rnacentral:rRNA from 1 species
AAGUUGGACGGAAGCCUGAUGCAGCUCGCCGCGUGAGUGAUGAGGCCUUCGGGUUGUAAAGCUCUGUCUUUGGGGACGAUAAUGACGGUACCCAAGGAGGAAGCCACGGCUAACUACUUGCCAGCAACCGCGGUAAUACUUAGGUGGCAAGCGUUGUCCGGAUUUACUGGGCGUAAAGGGAGCGUAAGUGGAUGUUUAAGUGGGAUGUGAAAUCCCCGGGCUUAACCUGGGGGCUGCAUUUCAAACUGGAUGUCUAAAGUGCAGGAGAGGAGAGUGGAAUUCCUAGUGUAGCGGUGAAAUGCAAAGAGAUUAGGAAGAACACCAUUGGCGAAGGCGACUCUCUGGACUGUAACUGACACUGAGGCUCGAAAGCGUGGGGAGCAAACAGGAUUAGAUACCCUGGUAGUCCACGCCAUAAACUAUGGGUACUAUGUGUAGGGG